UCAGAUAGUAUCUUUUCUUUCCAACGCAACUUUCUUGCAAGUCUCAAGCAAUUUCUCUUCACUUUAUUCGGUCCUCAACUUCAAAAGUUUUUCUUUUCUGCAUCUUCUUCAGUUCUCAAGUUCACAUAUCAGGAAGAGUGAAAAGUGAAGAUUGAAGAAUUUGUUUUUAGCACUGGUGGUCGGAUCCUUGAUUUUUAUCGGAGUUCUUUGUCACCAAAGACUGCUAAAGCUCUUGUUUGUAGUCAACAAUGGUUAUGUUCAACAUCUACAUAAUGCAAGAUUGAAGAUCUUUUAUAAGAAAUGCAAAAGCGUGAAAUAGUUGAAAGAGCCUGGUAGGUUUUCUUUGCUCUGAUUAUGGCAGCUAUAGGAAUUUCCUAGUCAAGCUCAUUAGCUCCAGAUUCAAGCAAGGCCAAGGCUGCCACUGCUUCCAUAUUUGCUAUUCUAGACGGGAAAUCAAAAGUAGAUCCAAGUGAUGAUCCAGUUGUUGGAAAAGUGCAGCGAGUG